AUGCAGUCGAGCGGAUGAAGGUAGCUUGCUACUGGAUUCAGCGGCGGACGGGUGAGUAAUGCUUAGGAAUCUGCCUAUUAGUGGGGGACAACGUUCCGAAAGGAGCGCUAAUACCGCAUACGUCCUACGGGAGAAAGCAGGGGACCUUUGGGCCUUGCGCUAAUAGAUGAGCCUAAGUCGGAUUAGCUAGUUGGUAGGGUAAAGGCCUACCAAGGCGACGAUCUGUAGCGGGUCUGAGAGGAUGAUCCGCCACACUGGGACUGAGACACGGCCCAGACUCCUACGGGAGGCAGCAGUGGGGAAUAUUGGACAAUGGGGGGAACCCUGAUCCAGCCAUGCCGCGUGUGUGAAGAAGGCCUUUUGGUUGUAAAGCACUUUAAGCGAGGAGGAGGCUACCUAGAUUAAUACUUUAGGAUAGUGGACGUUACUCGCAGAAUAAGCACCGGCUAACUCUGUGCCAGCAGCCGCGGUAAUACAGAGGGUGCGAGCGUUAAUCGGAUUUACUGGGCGUAAAGCGUGCGUAGGCGGCCAAUUAAGUCAAAUGUGAAAUCCCCGAGCUUAACUUGGGAAUUGCAUUCGAUACUGGUUGGCUAGAGUAUGGGAGAGGAUGGUAGAAUUCCAGGUGUAGCGGUGAAAUGCGUAGAGAUCUGGAGGAAUACCGAUGGCGAAGGCAGCCAUCUGGCCUAAUACUGACGCUGAGGUACGAAAGCAUGGGGAGCAAACAGGAUUAGAUACU
rnacentral:rRNA from 1 species